rnacentral:lncRNA from 1 species
AAAGAGAGAUUGGGGAGUGAUUGGUAAUUAACAUGGCGUUUCUUUUUAGGGUAAUAAAAUAUUCUGGAACCCGGCAUUUUGGGGGGAGGGUAAUAAGAUAUUCUGGAAUUAGAUAUUGAUGAUGUUUGCACAUGUCCAUGGAUAUACUAGGAAAUAUUGAAUUGUGCUCUUUAUUUGAAAAAGAUAAUUUUACUGUAUGUGAUUUAUAUCUCAAUAAAUCUGUUAUUUAUAAAAUAUGCUAAGGGGAAAAUCAGAGUUACUGGACUCCUCUGAGUUAGGUUCACCUUACUCAUUUCUGAGCAAUAGACAAGAGUGCAAAUAGACGUCCGUAUGCCACAAGUCAAAUGUUUUAAAAUUGUGAAUCAAGCAAUCACAGUCUUAAAUGUGUUUUAUUCCCUUGCACUGACAAAUACAUCUUCAUCCAGGAACAGUUCUAUACUGUUGGCUAUGGGAAAUGAGCAAGGGCUUUAAGAAGAACAAAGAUGUGAUAGUAUCAUUAUUUCUGAAACAGCUUGUUGGUGGCCCUGUCAAGGUGUAGGUAGAGGAAAGCCUGGGGAUGGUAGCAGUAAGUAAGCAGUGGUGAUCACCCUCCCCAGAAUUGAGGUGGACACAAACCAAUAUCAUAGUAUGGAGAUAGUUUGGCAGAUAGAUCAGGCACGCUAAAACUGGGUCAGCAGAGAUAGAUAGAUGUAGAAGGAGGAAGAGAUGUGAGAAAGGAGAAAGAGGUGGCUGACCUUUAGAACUUCACUGACUCAGGCUGGUGACAUCAUUAACUAAGAGAUAAAAGAAGAAGUAGGUUUCUUCUUUUAUCAGGUGGGAGUAGAGGAACUUUGAGAGCUGGGCUUUGGGUAUGUGAGGCUGAGCUAUGUGUAGGAUAUUAGGUGGAAAUUACCAAUUAGUAUUGAGAAGCACAUGCUUGGAGUAUAGAAAAGGGGUCUGAGUUAGUAAAAUGAUUUAGAAGUCCCUGGAAUCGUCAGAGUCCCAGGGGGGAUUAAGAACCAAAUGGAAUGAAACACAACAGACCAGUACCAUUAAUAAUUAGACUCUGAAAUGUUCCUACUUAAACAAAAGACAAAGAUAACACCAUUUGCAAGAAACUGUCAUGAUGUGUAGUAGAGUCUUCAUGGUGAGCUUGAUGCUUUUGGUUAGAAAAUGGUGAAUAUAGGGCAACUGGAUGGCUCAGUGGUUGAGUGUCUGCCUUCAGCUCAGUUCAUGAUCCCGGGGUCCUGGGAUUGAGUUCUGCUCCAAGUAAGGAGCCGGCUUCUCCCUCUACCUAUGUCUCUGCCUCUCUCUGUGUGUUUCUCAUGAAUUAAGCAAACAAAAUCUUACAAAAAAAGAAAAUGGUUAUUAUAAUAUGAUCCAUAACCAGUAACAGGUGGGAAGAACAAAUAAAAUCAGCCAAAUUAUAAUGGAAAAGACAUAGAACUGAAUUUUUCAUUUAUAUAUAAAUUAUAGCUUAUAUUUAAAAAUAUACAUACAACAAAAAUAUAUUACUGGUGAAGUUUUGCUUCUUAGGAUUCUUUUGCUGUGAUAACCUGUGUUUGAAAGAAGAAAAAUAGGCUGUUAAUUCUUAAUUGCCUUAACUGGCUGAUGAUGCUAGUUAAUGUUGUUAUUAGAUUUAUACCUGAAAGUACUUCAGAACCAUUAAUUAGACAUUUCUUAUCAGCUCUCUGCAUUAGACAUUACCAGCCUGCUUGCUGCUGCCAUUCCCCCACGUGCUAUAAUUUAUGCCAGAUGGUGUGACUUGUUCACUGGGAAAAGUACUUCAAACCGAGAACCUGCUGGUUUUUGGUUAUUGGAAGAGCAUUGAUUUGAGUUUGGUGUUGCAAAGUGUUUCAUUUGUUUACUUGCCAAAUGAGUAAAAUAUGCAUGUUUUCACUGGCUUAAAUUUCUGUCUAAAAUACUUUUCUGUACUUUGAUUGGCAAGGCACAGAACUGUUACUCUAUCCUGUCAUCCAGGUCUGGCUUCAGGAGUCCCUACUCUCACCUCCUCACCGGGAAGAGGCUGUGUUGUUUCUUUGGAUUCGUUGGCAUUUGUGCAUUUCUAAGAGAGACAGGUAUCUGCACAAUAAGUGAUUGGACUUAGUUGGAGGAAUAUGGAAAGGUUGGAAGUUGAAUGUGUUAAUCAGGUUUCUUAUUAUCAAUAAGCAGCAAUCAUGUAAUUUCAGUGAGCUGUGAAGGUGAUAGGUUUAGGCCAUAUUCUAAAAGAAAUAAAGAUUAUAUGCCUCUCCGUUUCAGUUCUACCAAAAUGUCCAUGUCCUCCUCUUCUUUCCUGGCUUUUAGAAAUCCUAUAGCAGGACGGACUGUCACCUGCCUCUGUGAUUUACAAGUCAUGCUCUUUUAUGUCUGGAUCUGCAUCCUAUUGUAAUGCUCUGAUUGGAUUUGAAAUGGGUUGCUCUGAGGUAGGUUUUCUCAUAAUCUGAUGGUGGGAGUAAAAAUUGGCAUGACUUUUAUGGAAAGCCUUUUAGCAACAUGUGUUAGAGUAUUUUAAUCUAUUCUAAUUUUAUCUGUUCAAUAGAAAUAAUAUGCGGUGUGGACAAAUACCUACUUAUAAAAAUAUUCAUUACUAUAUUUAUAGUAAUAAAAUAUGGAAAACAACUAUCUAUCAAUAGAAGAGUGAUCAAAUACAUCAUGGAAUAGAGAGAGCUCUUGUAAAUCAACAAGAAAAAGAUGAUGUCCCCGAAUAGAAAAUGGUUAAUGGAAAUGAAAUGCAGUUCACCAAAAAGAAAUGCAAAUGGCUAAGAAGCAUUUGAACAGAUGUUCAUUCUCAUUAGGAAUCAAAGGAUACAAAUGAAAAUAAUGAUAUAUUAUUUUAACUAUUAGGAAAGAUGAAACUGUUCCAUUGAUGAGGAGGUAGAAAUCAGGCAUUCUCAUUUACUCUUCAUUGGAGUGUAAUUGGCACAAAUGUGGAGGGGGAGAAAUUUGAAUGGGAGAGAGCAUACUUUUGACUCAGCAGUGCACUUCUAAGAUUGUAUUUUAAAAAUAAUCAACAAGUCUACAAAGGACAUGUAUAGGAUAUUUACCAGUUACACUCAUGCUAGUGAAAACUGAGAAUAAUCCAAAACCCAUUAGUAGGUGAUUGUUAAAUACAUGAUAGUACAACCACAUGAGGGAAUACUAUAUAGCCAUUAAAAACUAAUGUAGAUCAAGGGGUGCCUGGGUGCCUGACUCUGAGUCUGUUAAGCCACCAACUCUUGAUUUCAGCUCAGGUCAUGAUCUUGGGUUGGUGGGCUCAAGCCCCACAUCAGGCUCCAUGGUGGGUUUGGAGUCUGCUUGAGAUUCUCUGCCUCUCUCUCUCUCUCACUCUGCCCCUCCCCCAGCUUGUGCAUGUACACACAC